rnacentral:rRNA from 1 species
CCUACGGGAGGCAGCAGUGGGGAAUAUUGGUCAAUGGGCGCAAGCCUGACCCAGCAACGCCGCGUGAAGGAAGAAGGCUUUCGGGUUUUAAACUUCUUUUCUUAGGGACGAAGAACGUGACGCUACCUCAGGAAUAAGCCUCCGCUAACUACGUGCCAGCAGCCGCGGCAAUACGUCGGUGGCAAGCGUUAUCCGGAUUUAUUGGGUGUAAAGGGCGGGUAGGCGGAAAAGCAAGUCAGAUGUGAAAACUCAGGGCUCAACCCUGAGCCUGCAUUUGAAACUGUUUUUCGUGUGUGCUGGUGAGGCAAUCGGAAUGCCGUGUGUAGCGGUGAAAUGCGUAGAGAUAAGGAGGAACACCAGUGGCGAAGGCGGAUUACUGGACAGUAACUGACGCUGAGGCGCGAAAGCGUGGGGAGCAAACAGGAUUAGAUACCCCAGUAGUC